rnacentral:lncRNA from 1 species
AAAAAAAAAAAGAAGUUUGGAGUGUCUGCUCCAUGUUGGAUAAAAAAACUAAAUAAAAUCCUGGGAAAUGUGAAGAAUGCCAAAGAAAUGGAAAAAUGAGGACAGAAAAGAAUACUACUGCCUGGUUUCUGUGGCCAUAGGUCAAGCUGGAAAACAUUUUUCCAUAAAACCAUGUGCAAUUUCAUGCCACAGGUGAAAGAAUAGCCCAAAUCCACAAGUAAAUGCAUCGGUCAUUCUCCUUUGAUGAAAACCAGUUCAUGGACAAAUCAAAUGUAUGCUUCUCUCAUCUUAUGCAAUUCUAUGAAGAGUCACACAAAAAUGGAAUCCAGUUCUAGGAUAUCAAAGAAUCACCAAGUUAAAGGAGAAAUUGAGCUCUAAGGGAAAUAACUUCCUAUUGAAACAACAACAAAAAAUCUGAAGUCCAAGGAGAAAAAAAUAACCUUUAGUAAUUGCCUUGUUAUUGUUCAGUUUA